UUAAAGGGGACAUCAGAUGCAAAAUUCACUUUUACAUGGUGUUUGCAUAUAAAUGUGUCUUAGCAGUGUGAUGAAACAACUUUUCCUACAGUGAUAAAAAUCCUUAUUUUUAAUCCCCAAAAACAAAAAAAGUCUCAAUUAUUGAAACUUUUAAAUUUUCUGAGCAAUAUGACAUCAUAUCGCUCAACCCUUGCCCACGACUGCUGACAGAUGGUCACAUAUUCGCAUAUUUCUGAAUGCAAUGGAGGAACCAGAACAGGCAGAUUAAGUGGUGAAUGAAAAUACGUGCUUUAAUUUAGAAACAUGGAACACGGGAUGAAUUCUCCGGUACGCCGGAGGAAGUUUGAGGCGGACUGCCACUGGACUAAGAAUCUUAGUGAAAGGAAAUGGGCCAAUAAAUUUGGGAGCAUGUUUAUUCAACAAGUCCUCCAACUCAUACGACCGUAUGGGUCGUUUGUCACUAUCCAUAAAUACGACCCACACGAGCGUUCUCUAAAUUAGCGCCCCUAUUGGCAACAGGAGAUGUUCGUGGAUUUUGAUGAUAUGGAUUUUAGAUGACUUCGAGACAUGUACAGUUUUGCAGUUUCUUCAUAUCACAUACAUCUCCAGCUCCUACAACAACAUUC